AACCCUAGCCAAUAGACCUACGGCGUAAAGCGUGUUUAAGAUAACUGAACAAUAAAGUUGAACUCUAGCUAUGCCGUAAAAAGCCGCAGCUUCCGUAAACUCCACUACGAAAGUGACUUUAAAAAUCUGAAUACACGAUAGCUAAGACCCAAACUGGGAUUAGAUACCCCACUAUGCUUAGCCCUAAACUUAAAGAAUCCAUAUAACAAGAUUCUUCGCCAGAGUACUACUAGCCAAAGCUUAAAACUCAAAGGACUUGGCGGUGCUUCACAUCCUUCUAGAGGAGCCUGUUCUAUAAUCGAUAAACCCCGAUAAACCUCACCAACCCUUGCCAACU
rnacentral:rRNA from 1 species